UUGACGGGGCCGCACAAGCGGUGGAGCAUGUGGUUAAUUCGAAGCAACGCGAAGAACCUUACCAGGUCUUGACAUCCCUGACAACCCGAGAGAUCGGGCGUUCCCCUUCGGGGGACAGGGUGACAGGUGGUGCAUGGUUGUCGUCAGCUCGUGUCGUGAGAUGUUGGGUUAAGUCCCGCAACGAGCGCAACCCUCGACCUUAGUUGCCAGCAUUCAGUUGGGCACUCUAAGGUGACUGCCGGCUAAAAGUCGGAGGAAGGUGGGAUGACGUCAAAUCAUCAUGCCCCUUAUGACCUGGGCUACACACGUGCUACAAUGGCCAGUACAGACGGACGCAAAGCCGCGAGGUGGAGCAAAUCCUAAAAAGCCGGUCUCAGUUCGGAUUGCAGGCUGCAAUUCGCCUGCAUGAAGUCGGAAUCGCUAGUAAUCGCAGGUCAGCAUACUGCGGUGAAUACGUUCCCGGGCCUU
rnacentral:rRNA from 1 species